UCAUGCCGACCCUUUGAACGAUAUUUCACCAAGAACUGUUUUGAGUGUGAAAAUUCCUACAAAUACGUUAGAGGACUUCUUAACUUUUGAAGACUCCCUGAAUCCUGACCGUGAAAAUAUUGAGGGUGAAACGACCCCAUUGAAAGAGAGAAUGCAUUGAAAACAAUUUUUGGAGGUAUUAGUCAAGAAUGAAAUGAUUUUAAGCAAUGCAUCAGAAGAAUGAUCGCAGCUGUGAUGACAAAACCUGUUCAACAAAAAUAUAGUGGAGCAGGAAGAAAAACUAAGACUAGUGCGAAGCUCCCAUUCAAUAAAACUACAGUCUAUAGAUGUAUUCAAGAGGUUUUGAUGGCUAUAUCCCCACAACGACAUGCAAAUUCUUCAAUACGUUAGCCAAUUUCUAUCUGGAGCAGGUGAUUGGGAUGGAGGGCGUGCUGCUCGCGACUAAAAAAAUGCAACCGGCUUU